UGAGAACCAGCUUAUCAGAAAAAAAGUUUGAAUUAUGGCGAGAAAUAAAAGUCUGAAACAUGAUUAAACUCCUAAGCAGAAAACCUACCGCGCUUCGCUUGGUCAACCCCUCAGCGGCAAAAAUUAAAAUUUUUACCGCUUCGGCGUUAUAACCUCACACUCAAUCUUUUAUCACGAAGUCAUGAUUGAAUCGCGAGUG
rnacentral:rRNA from 1 species